UGCCAACCUUCUUUAAGCGUUAAGUCCACAGCACCCAACGAUUGGAACAGUUUGGCAGCCGGCUGAUUGCUUUCCAGGACACAGAAAUUUAGCCUCGUGCAGUUCUCAAUUAAGGCUGCCUUUAAAGCACAGGCGAAGCAGACGACUGGUGACGUAGUGGCGCGUGGUUUAAACACAUCCAAGCAACGAAUCGCUACAGCAGCCAAUAGUCAUUACAAUCAUGGCGGCAGCACAAAUUUGUUUCACUCCUUUUCAACAGUGAUUUGGUCUUCUUCUAUAGUUGACUGAUACAAAGACGAGCAUGGGAAUUUUGUGAAAUGACGGUCGUACGGCUCCAGCGAUCGACAAAAAUGCGGUAGCCACAACCAGUUUCGCAUAACAGGUGGCAACAUGGAUGGGCAAUACCUUUGGAAAAUGUUGAUGAUUACAACAGAAAUCAAAAUGAAUAAGAACGGAAUACCGACGCACUGUAGUGUGACAGUUCCAGCAAUGGAGAGACCCAAAACAGUGGCUGGUAAAAUGAGAAACAUGAUUAUAAGAGCAAACAUGGCAAACCAUCGAUAUUUGGCAGUCACGUCGCCCAAGAACUUGGCCAUCGGAAUGGGUAAACGCAUGAACGGAAUGGGAUAGAAAAGUAAAAUCCCCGUCACGUUGAAGAACAGAUGGACAAAUGCUAUUUGCAUUGUGUCGUGCAGAGCGUCCGGUGAAGCUGUUAGCGCUGCAAGAAGAGCAGUUGCAGUCGAGCCAAUGCUGGAUCCCAAAGUCAGUGGAUAAACUCGUUCUAUUGAAACGAAACCCAUGCCGAUGAGAGGAUCGAGUGCCGAGGUGAAAACCAGGCUGGAACGAAGCAGGAAAGUCAUUCCGGCUCCGACAAAAAGCGCUAUAUAGCCCGUUAGCCAAGGAACGUAAGGGAUAUUGCCAUUGAUCACGUGCCUGAUGACGUUGGCAAAGUGUCCUUUACAUUUCAAUUGUUACCGAAACUGUCCUGAUUUAGGAAUGCAAAUUUGAACAUUUACCUUUCAUCAUUGAGUGAAGAAUUUUCACAAGACAAAUCAGAGUGCCACAGAGAGCGACGAGCGAAAUAAACAAGAUUAACAAACCGAUGGCCCAGUCUUCCAUUCCUGUAUUUUCAAAAAUGAAAACUCCAUCUGAAAGUGAAUAGUUGCUGUUAUUCAACGAUAUUCGCACUGCAAAAAACUGUGCAACAAACACUUGCCACAUGGGAUAGGUUCGCUGAUAUUGCCAUCACACCGUCGUAUGAGUGAAGAAUUUUCAUACUGGACGUCAUCAUUUGCCCAGCCUUUAAGAACUUCUGGAUCCAGCUGUAAUGAAUCAAUCAUCAAUAGAAACAAUACUUAAUCGUUUAAAAUUGAUUUUAUUUUCGAAGAAUCACCUGUAUAAUAAGAUCAACAAAAGGAUCCGUCAUUUCCUUCAAGAGUGAAAUUUCAUAUUUCCAGGUGGACGAACUAUUGACAUGUCGUACUGCGAUGCCACUUAGCCACUCCAAAUAUCCGACACCAAAUAGAGGAUCUUAACAACCAGCCAUGAAGUAGAAGAAAUUCCAUCGUGGUGAAUUCGAAGAAAGAACUUACGGCAAAAGAUUUCGACGGCGAAUAGAACCAGCAUCGUUAUCCAUUUGAAAAUAUCGUGAACCAUGGCUCCAGCGAAUGCCCGCCGGAAUUCGUUUUUGUUCCCGAUUUCGGCAAACGAAACGAUCGUAUUGGGAACGCAAGUGCCCACAUUAGCUCCCAUAAUGAUUGGAAUCGCUAUAGCAACUGUCAAAACUGGAUAAAGAAACAAAUGUUCUAGCAACAAUUUCCAUCUAGAACAGAACAUCUUCUGUCGUACCGUUAGCUCCGACCAUGCUUACUAUAAUGGAAGACGAUGUGGAAGAACUCUGGACAAGAACCGUAACUAAAAUGCCAAUCAUCAAUCCGACGACAGGAUUUUGGAUCAAUCGACUCUGCUGAAAAAUUGUACCUUUGAAAGGAAAUCGGUCAAGACACUGAUUGAAAACAGUUGAAAUGAAUAAACUCACCAGCAGUUCUUCCGGAUGUCAGCCGGAAUGCGCUAGCCAACAAAUCCAGCGAACAAAUCAGGAAAUAUAAGAAACCAGCAGCAGAAAGUAUUUUGGUCGUAUUGCUUAGAAUUCGAGUUCCUUUGGCUUUUGUGCUCAUGUCUAUUCAAAAAAGGGACGUUAUUCUUCUUCGUAAAAUGAAUGGGCAAAAUCUAAAAUGACGUACCUGCCCAUUUCUCCGAAUUGUCCACUAAAUCCACUAUCGCCCAAGGAUCUUCGUCUGGCGGUGUCAUUGACGUGACGGUCCUUAAAGUGCCGUAGGACGCAUUAAAACACUGUCUCCUUUCACAAUUGCUUUCACCAUCGAAUUUAAUCAUUUCAUUAACAAACGUUGGCCUUUUUUUUUAAAAGCUUUUUAAAUAUUGCAACUUCCAUACGAAGCACUUCUCUUGCACAUACGAAAUUGCUACGUCCAAAAAAUGAAAAACGUUCAAUUCGUAAGCUCGACACUCAACUGUGGAUGAACUCGAAAUGUUUGUCUGCAUACUGUCAGCAUAGAGGGAAUCCUCCUCCCAGCAUUUUGUUUGAGUUAGCACAGUACUAACAAGAACCUUCUGUGAUUAUUUUAGCAUUUCCUUUGUCUACUUAUCUAGUAUUAGGCUAUCUAAUUUGUAGAUGUCAGUCAGCUGAAAAAACGUAGUCCAUUUUAAACCCUCGCACAUUUUGUCUUCACUGCACAGCAACACAAUUUGGAAUGUCGUUUGUUCGCUAUUGAUUGCCAAAUUUUAAUUAAACCAAUGGGUUCUUACUAAACUCUAAAUUUAGCAGGUCAACCAGUGACACUUGAUUGAUAACGUUUUCUUUCCCUGUUUGACUGUUAGAAAAGUGGAUUGGCAUAGAAGUGGGGAUUUUAUAAAACUAAUUUGAAUGAAAACUUAUGUGUUUGCCAAUGGGUAAGACUUACGACAUUUUCAUGCAGCCAUUUGUUAUUUCACUCGACGCAGCUGAUCGGCAAACGGAGGGAUGACAUUGCGUGCGCUUGUUUAGUGAGGGCCAAACUGUGAUAGAAUGUGGUGCCAUCCAAGUCGUUUGCAACUCGAAACCCUUUCGUUUUUUUUAGUCCAAACGUCUCUCACUUGUACAUUCGAUAUUUUCAAUCCCUUGGGCUCAUACGCUAGUCUUACGUUCAAUGCUAAAAAAGUCCAUCCGCCAACUAUGUUCAGACAGGAGCUGGUAACUAUAAUUACAUAAAUUCGAAUCACCAUUCCUUGAAUUUGUAUUGUCCCGUUAGCUCUAUCACUAGUGUACCUCAUUUUUGCUUUGGUUCUUCAAACUACCUUGAGAUUUUUUACAAUUGAGCUGUUAGAGCCGACGUCAAGCCUUCGUUCAACUGUCAAUUAUUUUCAGCUUAAUUUCCAUUCAUUCUCAUAUUCUUUAGGCUUAACAAUUUCCAGAGGGAAUUGUUUCCUUGCUAAUGUAAAAACAAUUCAUAACGAUUGCUCAUUGUGGACUGAUCUUACAAUCGCCAUCUAGUCGUUGAACUUAAUUUAGACUACACACAAGAUAAGGUCCUAUCUGAAAAACAGUGAAAGAAUUUUUAAAUGCUCUUAACAUUUAACAGAGAAAUUGUGCAUUCUUUGCCAAGGCUACCGAUGGAUUAUUCUUUCUUUAAUUUUAAGAAAUGCAUCACCAAUUCUUCCUUGGUAGUUCGACUCCUUUCGCUUCGCUACUGUUCAAACGACUAGACGUCUCCAUCGCUGUAAUCGCUAAAAGGUAAGUGUGAAAUCGCUAUCUUGACUCCAACAGUGUCAUUAUUGUGUAUGUUGCGAUAGAAUUUCUUGAAUUAAAAACGCAUUUGUUGUAUUAUGUCCAUAAAAAGAAGAAAACAAGGCAUUGAAGUAUGGAGGCAUUACGUCAUGAUUGUACCAUCAGUCUCCGUCAUGGUUUUCAUUUAAGGAAUUGAUUCGUUUGAAAGAGGAGUUGAGGAGAUUUCCGUUGUAACAUUAACUGUUUUUUCUUGUUCAUCCUGGCUAAAUCUAUUGCAGCAUGAUAAUUUGGAGAGCUGACGGUCGUACGGCUCCAACGAUCGACAAAAUUCAGGCAACCACAUCCAGUUUCGCAACACUGGCGGCAACAAAGAUGGACUUUUCUUCUGUAAAAUGUUGAUAACGACAGCUGCUACAACUAUUAAUAGGAAAGGAAUACCGACGCAUUGUAGUGUGACAGUUCCAGCAAUAGAAAGACCUAAAACUGUGGCGGGUAAAACGAAAAACAUGCCGACAAGAGAAACGAUUGCGAACCAUCGAUACUUGGCAGUCACGUCGCCCAAGAACUUGGCCAUCGGAAUAGGAAAACGCAUGAACGGAAUGGGAUAGAAAAGUAAAAUUCCCGACACGUUGAACAAUAAAUGAACAAGCGCAAUUUGCAACGUAUCGUGCAGAGCGUCUGGUGAAGCUGCGAAAGCUGCAAGAAGGGCCGUUGUGGUCGUGCCUACAUUCGAUCCUAAAGUCAAUGGAUAAACUCGUUCGAUGGAAAUGAAACCGAUGCCGAUGAGCGGAUUGAGAGCUGAAGUAAAAACUGAACUGGAACGCACGAUGAAUGUCAUCCCAGCUCCGACGAGAAGAGCGAUGUAACCCGUUAGCCAAGGAAAAUAAGUUCCAGCGAGAAAAAAGAGAUUUACCUUUCAUCAUUGAGUUGAGGAUUUUUACCAGGCAAAUCAUGCUGCCACAGAGAACGAAUAAUGAAAUAGAUAAAAGAAUCAAUCCAAUGGACCAGUCCUUCAAUGUUGUAUUUUCAAAAAUAAAAAUCCCCUCUAUAAA